GUAAAAAUCAUAAAUUUGAAAAUAAAAACAGCACUAAUGUAUGUAUAGUUACAACUAACAACAGUAGUUCAUCUAACAAAAAAACCCCAAACAAAACAUUCAAUAAGCAGAAUAAAAAAAUAUUUACAUGUACCGUGUGCAAUCAAACUCAUUUUCUCUUUAACUGUGAAACAUUCAGAGCCCUUCCUAUAGAAAGUCGUAUUCAAAAGGCGAAAGAAUCGAACGUCUGUCUUAAUUGUUUACGGCCUGGGCACUUAGAAAAAAGUUGCAAUCUUGUGCCAUGUAAAUACUGCAAACAGAGACAUAACACACUUUUACAUCUGCAUGAACCAGUGGCUCAUUCUGAGCCCACGACUUCUGCUAUUUGUAACUUCGCUGCAUCUGGUCAUGAUGUACCGCAAAUACCGCAAUGUACUACUGCGCCGCAUGCUUUCCUGUCCACAGCGAUCGUGAAGGUGCGCGACAACGCAGGCAACGUGCAUACGGCUCGGCUGCUUCUUGACAACGGAAGUUUCUGCCACUUCGUAACGGAAUCACUCUGCGAUUCUUGAAGUCUUCUCUACUACUUCAACCCGGGCAGCAUGUUGAGUACUCGACAUACGCACGGGAGGAGACGCGCGGGCGGCGGGCGAUCGCGACGUCAUCGCGGCAGGCCUGCGAGCAGCGCGCGGCACACACACUCACCUUUACCUACCUCACCGGCAACGGACGAAUACCGAAUUAAUUUAUAAACUGUUUGGCCGGGAUUUUAAGCUGUAAUUAAGGCGGAAUAAACCA
rnacentral:misc_RNA from 1 species